UCUAGGCCGAUGCACCUAAGAAUAGUUUUUUUUUGCUUUUCAGUGUUUUUGGGAGUCGGUUUUAUUUUUUUGUAAAAAGUUUUUUAUUUUUAGCUUUUUAGUGACAAGCAUAGUUGUCACUAUCCGCAUAAGUGUAAAGUUCUUAUCAAUACGAACAAUAUAAGCCCAAACACGAGGUAGUUUACACAUUCAUUGUUCAAGUUCCCUCAACCUUCUCUGGACUUCAUCAUCAGGUCAGCUUCAAACCUUCACCACUGCAUAGUGUUAUCAGACAUACGCCUUAGUGUCAAGCUUUUACCCUACGUAUGCCUACAAUUUUCGAAAGUUGCCCUCGAUUUCUCAGGGUUUCCAUCAUCAGAUCCUGACCUGGUGACUAUGGGACCACCUGGGAGGUAAACCCUAUUAAACAAAAAAAAAAAUUUGCAAAUCGGUCCAGGCGUCUCCGAGUAAUCGGUGAACAUACAUAAAAAAUAAAAAAAAAAUAAAAUAAAAAAAAAAAAA